AAUCCUCUAGGCCGAAUAUCCAAGGUUUCCAGGGUAAAGCUGAUCUGCCCUGGGUGAGUCGGGACCUAAGGUGAGGGCGAGAGCCGUAGCCGAUGGACAACAGGUUGAUAUUCCUGUACUGCAGUAUAACAGAACUGUGGGGACACGUAAGGAGAGCGGGAGCCGGGAAUGGAAAGCCCGGUACAAGCGAGGUACCAGUAUGGUAGGAAAAUCCGCCAUGCAAUGGGAAGACGUGAUGUGGAGUGAAAUAUAGUAACGAAGCCCGUGAGCCAUGCGUCAAGAAAAGCCGCUAUUGUUUAUAUUGUACCCGUACCGUAAACCGACACAGGUGGAUGAGGAGAGAAUCCUAAGGCCGGCGGAAGAAGCAUUGUUAAGGAAUUCGGCAAAAUGACCCCGUAACUUCGGGAGAAGGGGUGCCUGCGAGAGCAGGCCGCAGAGAAUAGGCUCAAGCAACUGUUUAGCAAAAACACAGGUCUAUGCGAAACCGAAAGGUGAGGUAUAUGGGCUGACGCCUGCCCGGUGCUGGAAGGUUAAGAGGAGAGGUUAGCGCAAGCGAAGCUUUGAAUUUAAGCCCCAGUAAACGGCGGCCGUAACUAUAACGGUCCUAAGGUAGCGAAAUUCCUUGUCGGGUAAGUUCCGACCCGCACGAAAGGCGUAAUGAUUUGAGCACUGUCUCGACAAUGCAUCCGGUGAAAUUGAAGUACCAGUGAAGAUGCUGGUUACCUGCGCCAGGACGGAAAGACCCCAUGGAGCUUUACUCCAGUCUGGUACUGGGACUCGGUAUUGCAUGUACAGGAUAGGUGGGAGGCUAGGAGAUGGUAACGCCAGUUGCCAUGGAGCCGCUGUUGGGAUACCACCCUUGCAGUAUUGGGUUUCUAACCAGCCGCCGUGACCCGGCGGUGGGACAAUGCCAGACGGGGAGUUUGACUGGGGCGGUCGCCUCCGAAAGGGUAUCGGAGGCGCCCAAAGGUUCCCUCAGAAUGGACGGAAACCAUUCGAAGAGUGCAAAGGCAGAAGGGAGCUUGACUGCGACACCGACGGGUGGAGCAGGUACGAAAGUAGGACUUAGUGAUCCGGUGGUAUAAAGUGGGAUUGCCAUCGCUCAACGGAUAAAAGCUACCCUGGGGAUAACAGGCUUAUCACUCCCAAGAGUUCACAUCGACGGAGUGGUUUGGCACCUCGAUGUCGGCUCAUCGCAUCCUGGGGCUGUAGCAGGUCCCAAGGGUUGGGCUGUUCGCCCAUUAAAGCGGUACGCGAGCUGGGUUCAGAACGUCGUGAGACAGUUCGGUCCCUAUCCGGCGUGGGCGUAGGAUAUUUGAGAGGAGCUGUCCUUAGUACGAGAGGACCGGGAUGGACGGACCACUGGUGUAUCUGUUGUCGACCAACGGCAUGGCAGAGUAGCCAAGUCUGGAAGGGAUAAACGCUGAAGGCAUCUAAGCGUGAAGCCCCCCUCAAGAUGAGAUAUCCCAUUCUUUAAGAAGUAAACCCCCUUGAAGACGACGAGGUAGAUAGGGCAGAGGUGGAAGUGCAGUAAUGCAUGGAGCUGACUGUUACUAAUCGGGUGAGGGCUUGACCAA
rnacentral:rRNA from 1 species